GUGAGUCAUCGAAUCUUUGAACGCACAUUGCGCCCGCCAGUAUUCUGGCGGGCAUGCCUGUUCGAGCGUCAUUUCAACCCUCGAGUCCCCCGUGGACUUGGUGUUGGGGACCGGCGACGCCGCUGUCUUGCAGCGGAAGUCGCCGCCCCCUAAAUGAAUUGGCGGCCUCGUCGCGGCCCUCCUCUGCGUAGUAGCAUACACCUCGCAACAGGAGCCCGGCGAAUGGCCACUGCCGUAAAACCCCCCAACUUUUUUUCAGAGUUGACCUCGAAUCAGGUAGGAAUACCCGCUGAACUUAAGCAUAUCAAUAAGCGGAGGA
rnacentral:misc_RNA from 1 species